UACGUAGGGUGCAAGCGUUGUCCGGAAUUAUUGGGCGUAAAGAGCUCGUAGGCGGUUUGUCGCGUCUGCUGUGAAAACUCGGGGCUUAACCCCGGGCCUGCAGUGGGUACGGGCAGACUAGAGUGCGGUAGGGGAGACUGGAAUUCCUGGUGUAGCGGUGAAAUGCGCAGAUAUCAGGAGGAACACCGGUGGCGAAGGCGGGUCUCUGGGUAGUAACUGACGCUGAGGAACGAAAGCGUGGGUAGCGAACAGG
rnacentral:rRNA from 1 species